GAUGGACGCUCGCUACAGGCUUAACACAUGCAAGUCGAGGGGAAACGGCAUCGAAAGCUUGCUUUUGAUGGGCGUCGACCGGCGCACGGGUGAGUAACGCGUAUCCAACCUGCCCAUCACUUGGGAAUAACCUUGCGAAAGUAAGACUAAUGCCCAAUGACAUCCCACGAAGGCAUCCGAAUGGGAUUAAAGAUUUAUCGGUGAUGGAUGGGGAUGCGUCUGAUUAGCUUGUUGGCGGGGUGACGGCCCACCAAGGCAACGAUCAGUAGGGGUUCUGAGAGGAAGGUCCCCCACAUUGGAACUCAGACACGGUCCAAACUCCUACGGGAGGCAGCAGUGAGGAAUAUUGGUCAAUGGGCGAGAGCCUGAACCAGCCAAGUAGCGUGCAGGAUGACGGCCCUAUGGGUUGUAAACUGCUUUUAUAAGGGAAUAAAGUGGGUCACGUGUGACUUUUUGCAUGUACCUUAUGAAUAAGGACCGGCUAAUUCCGUG
rnacentral:rRNA from 1 species